GGGGAGGGAAGUGGGGGUGGCAAGGCAGGGAUAGCGAGGAGAUAGAGUGGUGGGGGAGGAGAGAAGGCAAGAUGCUGAAAAGUUGAGGAGGUGUGGAGAGGUGAUGAUGGGGGAAUGGGUGUGACAAGGAUGUGGCGACAGUGGUGUGGGCCACAUGGUUAAGGUUUCCAAUUAGAGUUUCAAAUGUGGAAGAUGAAGAAGAUAAAGGACAUAUUUGUCCUUUUGCAUUAAGCAGUCAACAUCCACUAUCUCUUCCAUGCCCACUCUCAAAUUAGGCAUGCG
rnacentral:lncRNA from 1 species